rnacentral:rRNA from 1 species
GAACACGGCCAUAGUCGCUAGGAAACACCUGUUCCCAUUCCGAACACAGAAGUUAAGCUGACGACGUCUGCUGCGUUAGUCUCCGUCAAGAGGCGAAACUCGGAUGCUGUGUUCU